AAUCUCUUAGACUCCUUUCACCAAAAAAAAAACUUGGGUUUCUAUCAACGUUUGUUGAUUAAGCAAAAAAAAAAAUGGCAAAUCUUAAGUUUGUCGUCGUCUUGGGUCUGCUCUUCGCCAUCUCCGCCGCUGUUUUGGCCGAGACUCAGGUGCAAAAGAUGAACCCGACAGAAACUACUGAAGUGAAGCCGCAGCAGGCGAACUGCGGCUGCGGGCCGCGAAGGCGAUGCUGCGG